UGUAUAAUGGGUCAGCGACUUAUAUUCUGUAGCAAGGUUAACCGAAUAGGGGAGCCGAAGGGAAACCGAGUCUUAACUGGGCGUUAAGUUGCAGGGUAUAGACCCGAAACCCGGUGAUCUAGCCAUGGGCAGGUUGAAGGUUGGGUAACACUAACUGGAGGACCGAACCGACUAAUGUUGAAAAAUUAGCGGAUGACUUGUGGCUGGGGGUGAAAGGCCAAUCAAACCGGGAGAUAGCUGGUUCUCCCCGAAAGCUAUUUAGGUAGCGCCUCGUGAAUUCAUCUCCGGGGGUAGAGCACUGUUUCGGCAAGGGGGUCAUCCCGACUUACCAACCCGAUGCAAACUGCGAAUACCGGAGAAUGUUAUCACGGGAGACACACGGCGGGUGCUAACGUCCGUCGUGAAGAGGGAAACAACCCAGACCGCCAGCUAAGGUCCCAAAGUCAUGGUUAAGUGGGAAACGAUGUGGGAAGGCCCAGACAGCCAGGAUGUUGGCUUAGAAGCAGCCAUCAUUUAAAGAAAGCGUAAUAGCUCACUGGUCGAGUCGGCCUGCGCGGAAGAUGUAACGGGGCUAAACCAUGCACCGAAGCUGCGGCAGCGACACUGUGUGUUGUUGGGUAGGGGAGCGUUCUGUAAGCCU
rnacentral:rRNA from 1 species